CAUCAAAUUAGGAUAAAUUAUAUGCACAGGUGCCAUGACUGAACAGUACUGAAGAACACCCAUAUAUGCAUGGGGCUAGCUAGGACACUUCGAUCAAUUCUGCCAAUGUCUUGGGCAGGCAGUGAAAGAGACCUCGUCAUGUGCACUGAGCGAAUCAAUAAAUCGUCCCUUUACAAAUUCGGGAGGUGGCAACAAUUAGGAAGAGGAUAGGACUGAAUCAGUAGCAAGGAGAAACUCAGGGAGUGUUGCUCCAAUCUAGAAGGAACUCAAGCUCAGUGCAGAGAAAAUCUAGUCGCCGAUCUUUCAUGGGAGAUGGACCAAUCAAACAAGCAAUCGUCUCUCAGUACACCAUCACCACGCAGACGCUCACUCGAAGUCUUCAAUCCCACCAACUACUCUAUUAGGCCAACGAACCAGACCAUCCUUUCACAACCCACAUGGCAGAGAUGGCUUGAUACACGCGUGAGCAACCGACGGGACCAGUUUCCCAAGCGCUCUUCCAAGUCUGGUCGGAAUGUGGACAUCGCCACCUCAUGGUUGGCCCUCAAAGACUCCACCCCACCACCGAUGCCAUCACCAACAGCAAUCCCCCAGAAGACCUUCUUGGCGAUCUUAAAUGAGCACGAUGAUCACGAGGAACCUAUGUCCAAGAGGCAAUCAAGGUCGGGAGAAGUCGGUGCCGCGGCACAACGAGCGGCCGAGUGGGGUUUGGUGCUGAAAACCGACACAGAGACGGGCAAGCCGCAAGGGGUUUCCGUCAGGACUUCGGGAGGCAGCGGACACCACAGAAGAGACUCAAACAACUCUGUGCGAAGCUCGUGUGGAAGCGGAGUCAAUGACUCGAACAACCAGCCUGGAAACCCAAAAAGAGACUCGAACAACUCUAUGAGAAGCUCCGGCGACUUAUCGGAAGACGGAGCGGGGAAAGAGAAUGGGAUUCCGAGAAUAUCAGAGGACCUAAGGGACGCCUUAUCAACGUUCCAACAAACGUUUGUGGUCUCCGACGCGACCAAACCGGAUUGUCCGAUAAUGUACGCCAGUGCCGGAUUCUUCAGGAUGACAGGGUACACAUCCAAAGAGGUGGUCGGUCGGAACUGUCGGUUUUUACAGGGUAAGGAUACAGACCCAGAAGACGUAGCGAAGAUAAGAGAGACAUUACAGGCAGGGUCGAGCUUCUGUGGGAGGUUGCUCAAUUACAAGAAAGAUGGCACGCCGUUUUGGAAUUUACUCACUAUUACACCCAUUAAGGACGACACUGGAAAAAUCAUUAAAUUUAUUGGGAUGCAAAUGGAGGUUAGCAAGCAUACAGAGGGGUCCAGGGAUAAAACGGUGCGUCCCAAUGGAUUGCCAGAGUCCUUGAUUCGAUAUGAUGCUCGCCAGAAAGAGAUGGCUACCAGUUCUGUUUCUGAGGUUGUGCAGGCAGUGAAGAGACCUCGUGCACUCAGCGAAUCAAUAAAUCGCCCCUUCAGAAAAUCAGGAGGUGGCAAGGAAGAGGGGAGGAUUGAAUCACUAGCAAGGAGAAACUCAGAGAGUUGUGUUCCACCUAGGAGGAACUCAUUUGCAAGUACUAGAAGCUCAAUGCAGGGCCUCAGUGAGUUACCCGAAAAGAAACAGAGAAAAUCUAGUAGGCGUUCUUUUAUGGGGAUUAUUAGGAAAAGUCAAUCCAACAUUAAGGGAAGUCUUGACUUUGAAACUGCUAUGGAUGAUGAUGGAAGUAAUGAUGAUGAGUGGCUUGACCAUGUUGAUGACAGAGUAAGGAAGAAGGAAAUGAGAAAGGGUAUUGAUCUUGCUACUACACUUGAGCGCAUCGAGAAAAAUUUUGUCAUUACAGAUCCAAGGCUCCCUGAUAAUCCUAUCAUUUUUGCAUCCGAUAGCUUCUUAGAACUUACGGAGUUUAGUCGUGAAGAAAUCCUGGGAAGAAAUUGCAGGUUUCUGCAAGGACCCGAAACUGAUCCUGCAACUGUGAGGAAAAUUAGAGAGGCAGUUGACAACCAGACAGAAGUCACAGUCCAGCUCAUUAACUACACGAAGAGUGGUAAAAAGUUCUGGAACCUGUUUCAUUUGCAACCCAUGCGUGAUCAAAAAGGUGAAGUACAGUAUUUUAUUGGGGUACAAUUAGAUGGUAGUCAACACAUUGAGCCACUUUGCAACUGCAUUCCAGAAGACACUGCAAAAGAGAGUGAAAAACUGGUCAAAGAAACUGCAGAAAAUGUUGAUGUUGCAGUGAGAGAGCUUCCUGAUGCUAAUUUGAAACCAGAAGAUUUAUGGAUUAACCAUUCCAAGGUAGUUCACCCAAAACCUCACAGGAAAGACAGCCCCUCUUGGAGAGCUAUCCAAAAGAUUCUAGAUAGUGGAGAACAGAUAGGCUUGAAACAUUUCAGGCCAAUAAAACCUUUGGGAUCUGGUGAUACUGGGAUUGUGCAUUUGGUGGAAUUGUGCGGAAGUGGUCUGAAUUUUGCCAUGAAGGCUAUGGAUAAAAGUGUUAUGCUCAACCGUAACAAGGUGCAUAGAGCUUGUGCAGAGAGACAAAUCCUUGACAUGUUAGAUCAUCCUUUUCUUCCCACACUGUAUGCAUCAUUUCAGACCAAAACACAUGUUUGUCUAAUAACUGAUUACUGCCCUGGUGGAGAACUCUUCCUGCUUUUGGAGAGACAACCUACAAAGGUCCUGAAGGAAGAUGCAGUGAGAUUUUAUGCUGCGGAGCUAAUAAUUGCAUUGGAGUACCUUCACUUUCAGGGGAUAAUUUACAGGGAUUUGAAACCUGAAAAUGUUUUACUCCAGAGCGAUGGGCACGUGUCCUUAACAGAUUUUGAUCUGUCAUGUUUGACAUCCUGCAAACCUCAGCUUUUGAUUCCAGGUACAAAUGAAAAUGUUUGUAGUUGGGAUUUGAAACCUGAAAACGUUUUACUCCAGAGCGAUGGGCAUGUGUCCAUAACAGAUUUUGAUUUGUUAUGUUUGACAUCCUGCAAACCUCAGCUUUUGAUUCCAGGUACAACUGAAAAGAAAACGCAACACAAAGGUCAUCAGAAUCCUAUCUUCAUGGCUGAACCUGUGCGAGCAUCAAAUUCUUUUGUUGGCACUGAGGAGUACAUAGCUCCGGAAAUCAUAAAUGGGGCAGGCCAUACUAGUGCGGUGGACUGGUGGGCUCUCGGUAGAUUUUUAUCUUAUUCAUAGAAUAAGGCAUCCGAAGUGCAUAUAUUAACUUAAACCAGGCUUUGAUUUUCUUUUAAAUGUAAAAGCUUUACAGUUGGAUACUAAUGCAACCCUUUAUAAAUGUUUUAACAAAACAAAAAAAUUGGAAAAUCAAAUAUGUAAAUUUAUGUACUAAAAGAAAGCUCUUUAGUCUUGGCAAACUAGCAAUCUGAAAUGCUUAAUCCUUUGUGGGAAGUGGAGAACCAAUAACAACUCUGAGAUUAAGCUUUAAGAAAAUCAGUGAACAAUAUGCAAAAGAUUAAAAGAACUUUCUAACACUAGCAUAAGCCAAGCUUAUUGUUUCUUAGAUAUUCCAAAUUCUGUUAUCUUUUUCAUGAGCAAGUUUCCACCAUCAUGUCAGAGUAUGAUAUGAUUCUAUUUAAUUGUAUUUCUGGAAGGAGAGCUUCUUCCAAUUUCCUGAUUCAAAUGGAAGAGAUUGAUAUUGGUUUUCCUAACAUAAUCUAAAACACUUGGAGGCAAAUCAUCACUAUUUGAUCUUGAUCAUCCAUUAGAUAAGAAAAUUUCAAAAUUUAAAUAUUGUUAUAAAAUCAAAUGCACAAGUUGUCCAUAAGAAAUGAUAAGAUAUGCAUUGGUCUUCUUAUUCUUGAAGCAUGUAAACCAUAACAAAUCAUUCUUGAUUUGCAUUACUUGUACACCAAUAUUAUCAGUGACAUGUGGAGCAUGCAAUACUAUUUCAUUUAUUGUUACCAUUCUUGAGAACUGUAUAGCUUACACCACCUUUCUGAUUGACUGCUCCAUUUCUCAGGUAUUAUUAUGUACGAGAUGUUCUAUGGAUAUACACCAUUUAGGGGAAAGACUAGGCAAAAGACAUUUUCCAAUAUUCU